AUCGCCUCUCUGCCUUUUGGCAGAGAACAAGUAUAGUAUCUGUUCUUAUCAGGUAGUCCACUGGUAGGAAUGGAGGAGUAGGGGUGCUUUGUUUCCUUCAGGUCUCACCAUGAGGUUUGGGGGUGUAGAGCUGAGGUACAUUUGUGCCUCAGGGAGUGGUGACCCUGAGGUGCCUAAACUCACU